AUUGAACGCUGGCGGAAUGCUUUACACAUGCAAGUCGAGCGGCAGCGCGGUCUUCGGACUGGCGGCGAGCGGCGAACGGGUGAGUAAUACAUCGGAACAUGCCCAGUCGUGGGGGAUAACACUUCGAAAGAAGUGCUAAUACCGCAUACGUCCUGAGGGAGAAAGCGGGGGAUCGCAAGACCUCGCGCGAUUGGAGUGGCCGAUGUCAGAUUAGCUAGUUUGUGGGGUAAAGGCCUACCAAGGCAACGAUCUGUCGCUGGUCUGAGAGGAUGAUCAGCCACACUGGGACUGAGACACGGCCCAGACUCCUACGGGAGGCAGCAGUGGGGAAUUUUGGACAAUGGGGGCAACCCUGAUCCAGCCAUUCCGCGUGAGUGAAGAAGGCCUUCGGGUUGUAAAGCUCUUUCGGCAGGAACGAAACGGCGAGCUCUAACAUAGCUCGCUAAUGACGGUACCUGAAGAAGAAGCACCGGCUAACUACGUGCCAGCCGCCGCAGUAAUAC
rnacentral:rRNA from 1 species